GUCUGAGGCCAUACCACCCUGAACAUGCCCAAUCUCACCCAGUCUCGAAAGCUAAGCAGGGUCGGGCCUGGUUAGCACUUCAGAAGAGACUGCUCAGAGACAAGCAAUUUGGAGACA
rnacentral:rRNA from 1 species